GAGUUUGAUCAUGGCUCAGAAUCAACGCUGGCGGCGUGCCUAACACAUGCAAGUCGCACGAGAAAGAGGGGGCAACCCCUUGAGUAAAGUGGCGUACGGGUGAGUAACACGUGACUAACCUACCUCCGAAUGGGGAAUAACCUCGGGAAACCGGGGCUAAUACCGCAUAACAUCUACGGAUCAAAGCAGCAAUGCGUUUGGAGAGGGGGUCGCGGCUGAUUAGCUAGUUGGUAAGGUAAUGGCUUACCAAGGCGACGAUCAGUAUCCGGCCUGAGAGGGCGCACGGACACACUGGAACUGAAACACGGUCCAGACUCCUACGGGAGGCAGCAGUGGGGAAUUUUGCGCAAUGGGGGAAACCCUGACGCAGCAACGCCGCGUGGAGGAUGAAGGUCUUUGGAUUGUAAACUCCUUUCGAUCGGGACGAUUAUGACGGUACCGGAAGAAGAAGCACCGGCUAACUCUGUGCCAGCAGCCGCGGUAAUACG
rnacentral:rRNA from 1 species